UACGGAGGGUGCAAGCGUUAUCCGGAUUCACUGGGUUUAAAGGGUGCGUAGGAGGGCAGGUAAGUCAGUGGUGAAAUCUCUGGGCUUAACCCGGAAAUUGCCAUUGAUACUAUAUAUCUUGAAUGCUGUGGAGGUAAGCGGAAUAUGUCAUGUAGCGGAUGAAAUGCUUAGAUAUGACAUAGAACACCUAUUGCGAAGGCAGCUUACUACGCAGAGAUUGACGCUCAUGCACGAAAGCGUGGGGAUCAAACAGG
rnacentral:rRNA from 1 species